rnacentral:lncRNA from 1 species
CAAAAGAUUAUUAGUUCCAACAUCGGCUGUGGAAUCUCCAAGAAAGAAGAUAGGCCUUGGCAUGUCAUAGGCCAGUUGAGGGGCGAAUUUGGCACAGAUAGCAAGCAGACACAGAUAGAAAGGAAUACUUAUUGAUGCCAUAGCAAAGGUCACAGGUUAGUUUACUGAUAUUUCUUAAGGUUUUUCUAGUUCUGCAAAACAUACUCAAUCUGAUCCCAGGUUAUAAACCUUUAUUUUUUUCAUGUGAGUACGGCUAACAGGAGACGUAUACAAACACUAAAAAAAUUAAUUUGCUUAGUUGAUAAUAAGUUUGGGAGUCUAGAAUUCACAGUUUUAGUUCGUGUCUCCGCGUGAGUGUGAGUCAGAAUAAUUGACAUUGGAUUAAAUAAUUCACCAAUCAACAAAGCUUGUAACAAGGCAGUGAGUAGGUGAAAGUAGAUGACAAAAAUGGAAGUUCCUUUGACAAAGGACAGAGUUGUUCCUAACUAGGUUCAUUGGCUUGAUUUAUGUGUGACAGAGAUUCAUACACGAAAACGUCUUUUUUAUCCGAUUAUCUAUCUUGUAGUAACCUUUUUGCAAGUAUAGACAAGAUAGGGAUCCUGUUGGCUGAUCUAACGUUGGAAACAAGAAUACCCACCUAGAUUGAGGCCAAUAGUCACACAGUAUUGUGUAAGAAACUGCCUAUUAUCAGUAAAUUAUUGUAAAUGUAAAUGCUUUGGAUCAUGAGAUAAUGUUGAGAGAAGACCCAGUUUCAAAACACAAAAGCUGUAGAAAAGUAGAGAAUAUAAAUAACUGAAAAACAACUUACAAUGGAAACUAACAAGACAGAAGAGAAAAAUACAGAAAAACAAAUAGGAUUUGAGGUUUCUAGUAACAGGUUACAUAGUCCGGUUCAAUUCUCGACCUCGUUUUCGCUCUUCUUAUGGUGUCCCGGUAACUUUUCCUUGAUCUUGUCUAUUAUGCCCUUCUUCUCCUUAUUCUCACAUCCUGCUGGGGAAUGCUCUGUUGCAGGAGGAGGAGAAGUCUGAGAUUCUUCGUCGCCUUUCUUGUGCUGCCCCGGGAGCUUCUCUUUCACCUUAUCUAGGAACCCCUUCUUCUCCUCGGGUUGCUCCGUCCCAGCAUUUCCUUCUUCAAUGGGUAUGACGACGUCUUCUCCCUCUUUCUUGCCAGAUAGUUUAUCCUUAAUUUCCUCUUUCAACCCCUUCUUCUUCUUCCUCUCUCCCCCCUCUUCCACUUCUUCAUCACUAGACUGUAAACACAAUGCAUGCAUGUAGGAAACGAUAUAUACAUUGUUAAUGAAAGGAUGUGUGGAAUCUAGUGAGACUUACGCAGCUCGAUUGGCUGUGAGCGCGUCGAAGCUCAUCCAUGAGCGUGUGCUUCUCCUCUUUGCCUGCAUUGACAUCUUUCAUUGCAACAUCCUCAACUUUCUUCUCUUCCUUGUUUGUCAGAAAAUCGAAACAACCGCGGUCUUGAGGAGUCUCCUUGCUGCCAUGGGCUUGUGGGAUCUGGUCUGCCAUUUUUGGUUGCAAGUAGUAGAUUUUGAGCAGAAGUUGAAACAAUGUGGUUGGAUUUGGUGUGGUGAGUGUCUGUUUAUAUAGUUGAGAAAUGAGACUAUGUAGUGUUAUUCACUAUCUUCUUUGAUGAGAGAAACUACAUGGGAGAUUGGAAUGCAGAUGCCUAAUGUUGGUCCUCGAAUAGAGAUAACCCAAAAAUGUCGGUUCGAAAAUACAAAAUACAAUCUAAAUAUAAUACUUCCUCCGUUCAUUAUUAAGAAGAAAAGUGAUUAAAUGAUAAAAGUAAUAGAAAAUUAAGUAACGGAGCUUUACAACUUUUUAUAAGAGUGUAAUUUCCUUUUUGAAUUG